UCAGAGAGAGUUUCAUCACCAUCAUUCAUUCUACGGAGUCUGUGAGAUCAAUGUGAGAAACCAUUUUGGUUUUGGAAGACGAAGAUCCAGACAUAAUCCUUGAGGAUUUCCUAGUUGCCUUAGGUUUAAUAUCCUUCUUUUUGAUCUUAAGUUUGGAUGGUUUGGUGGUUUUGGAGGGUUCGGCGAUUGGGAUGAUUUCAUCUGGACGAAUGGUAUGGACAGGUGUUUCGUUGUCAGCAGCGGUUUGAGGUGGUAAUUGAGAACGAGCAACAGGGGUUGAAUCAUCUUCAGAUAAUGGAGAUGUUGUUUUGGUUUGAGCCAUUAAAAAACUUAAGCAAGAACAGAGUUUUGAGAUUUUUGGAGAGAGAAGGGAAAGGAUGAGAUUCGAAGUGUGAGG
rnacentral:lncRNA from 1 species